CCUAACACAUGCAAGUCGAGCGCACCCUUCGGGGCGAGCGGCGGACGGGUUAGUAACGCGUGGGAAUAUACCCUUCACUACGGAAUAGCCUCGGGAAACUGAGAGUAAUACCGUAUACGCCCUUCGGGGGAAAGAUUUAUCGGUGAUGGAUUAGCCCGCGUCUGAUUAGAUAGUUGGUGGGGUAAUGGCCUACCAAGGCUACGACGGGUAGGGGACCUGAGAGGGUGACCCCCCACAAUGGAACUGAAACACGGUCCAU
rnacentral:rRNA from 1 species